rnacentral:rRNA from 1 species
CCUACGGGCGGCAGCAGUGGGGAAUAUUGCGCAAUGGGCGAAAGCCUGACGCAGCGACGCCGCGUGAGGGAUGAAGGUCUUCGGAUCGUAAACCUCUGUCAGCAGGGAAGAACGGUCACUGUGCUAAUCAGCAGUGAAUUGACGGUACCUGCAAAGGAAGCACCGGCUAACUCCGUGCCAGCAGCCGCGGUAAUACGGAGGGUGCGAGCGUUGAUCGGAAUUACUGGGCGUAAAGCGCUCGUAGGCGGUCUGACAAGUAAAGGGUGAAAUCCCCGCGCUCAACGUGGGAACUGCCUUUGAAACUGGCAGACUGGAGUGUGGGAGAGGAUAGUGGAAUUCCAGGUGUAGGAGUGAAAUCCGUAGAUAUCUGGAGGAACAUCAGUGGCGAAGGCGACUAUCUGGCACAUAACUGACGCUGAGGAGCGAAAGCGUGGGUAGCAAACAGGAUGAGAUACCCUGGUAGUC